rnacentral:rRNA from 1 species
GACGAACCGUGCGAACGUUGUUCGGAAUCACUGGGCUUAAAGGGCGCGUAGGCGGAUGGCCAAGUCGGUGGUGAAAUCCCCCAGCUCAACUGGGGAACGGCCUUCGAUACUGGUCGUCUGGAGGGGGGUAGGGGCAGACGGAACUUCCGGUGGAGCGGUGAAAUGCGUAGAUAUCGGGAGGAACACCUGUGGCGAAAGCGGCGCACUGGACCAUAACUGACGCUGAGGCGCGAAAGCUAGGGGAGCAAACAGG